UACAGAGGGUGCGAGCGUUGUCCGGAAUCACUGGGCGUAAAGGGCGCGUAGGCGGCUUGAUAAGGUUGCGGUGAAAGCCCGGGGCUCAACCCCGGGUCGGCCGUGGCAACUGUCGAGCUGGAGCACUGUAGAGGCAGGUGGAAUUCCGGGUGUAGCGGUGGAAUGCGUAGAGAUCCGGAAGAACACCGGUGGCGAAGGCGGCCUGGUGGGCAGUGGCUGACGCUGAGGCGCGACAGCGUGGGGAGCAAACAGG
rnacentral:rRNA from 1 species